GGCCGGCGCUGACCCAGCUGGCUCUGGUCUGCCUGCUUCCCACCGCCCUCCUAUAGUGGACUUGCCUGCCGCUGACCAGGGCCGAUCUUUCCAGGGACACUGCACCCAGCAAAGGGCCAAGGUGCCAGGAGCACUAAGAACUUUAAUGAGGGAUCCAUCAAGCCCAGCACUGCGGAAGGUACUGAUGAAGCCGAUGGAGCUGCCGAGGACAACCUUGCAGAAGCUCUUGCUGAGUGAGUCACACGAGGAAGAGGAGAGGUAACUACCAGUCAUAAAACAGCGCCCUCCUGACAGCCUACUGAUGGACAGGAAGAAGCCCACAGUGACAAAGCCAGUGGCAAGGUCAUCCCCAGCCAACCACUCUGGUGACCUGGGGGAACCUCAAGGUCUUGUAAACCAGACACAGAGAAUGUCUCCAGAAGGACGUGAAAUAGAGCCCUAUACCUGUUCCUGCUGGUACCGACAAAAUUGCAAUGUGUACUUGUUAAGAACGCCCCAGUGCCCUGCAUUCUAAGACAUCGGCUUCCUUCCACACCAAGAGUCUGCUCACUCUAGCCCUACUUGCUCCAGCAUAUUUACUUCAUAUAUGUGGGUUCACUGUCACUGUCUUCAGACAC